UUAGUAGGUGGCCGGCUAAGUCAGACGUGAAAUCCCUCAGCUUAACUGGGGAACUGCGUCUGAGACUGAUUGGCUUGAGGACAGGAGAGGAACGCGGAAUUCCAGGUGUAGCGGUGAAAUGCGUAGAUAUCUGGAGGAACACCGGUGGCGAAGGCGGCGUUCUGGACUGUUUCUGACACUGAAUAACGAAAGCCAGGGGAGCAAACG
rnacentral:rRNA from 1 species